rnacentral:rRNA from 1 species
UACGUAGGGGGCAAGCGUUGUCCGGAAUCAUUGGGCGUAAAGCGCGUGUAGGCGGCCCGGUAAGUCCGCUGUGAAAGUCGGGGGCUCAACCCUCGAAUGCCGGUGGAUACUGUCGGGCUAGAGUGCGGGAGAGGCGAGUGGAAUUCCUGGUGUAGCGGUGAAAUGCGCAGAUAUCAGGAGGAACACCAAUGGCGAAGGCAGCUCGCUGGAACGGAACUGACGCUGAGGCGCGAAAGCGUGGGGAGCGAACAGG